AGAGUUUGAUCCUGGCUCAGAACGAACGCUGGCGGCAGGCCUAAAACAUGCAAGUCGAGCGGUCCCUUCGGGGACAGCGGCGCACGGGUGAGUAACGCGUGGGAACGUGCCCCUGGGUGCGGGACAACCACUGGAAACGGUGGCUAAUACCGCAUAAUGACUCCGGUCCAAAGAUUUAUCGCCCAGGGAUCGGCCCGCGUCUGAUUAGGUAGUUGGUGGGGUAACGGCCUACCAAGCCGACGAUCAGUAGCUGGUCUGAGAGGAUGAUCAGCCACACUGGGACUGAGACACGGCCCAGACUCCUACGGGAGGCAGCAGUUAGGAAUAUUGGACAAUGGGCGAAAGCCUGAUCCAGCCAUGCCGCGUGAGUGAUGAAGGCCUUCGGGUUGUAAAGCUCCUUCAGAUGUGACGAUGAUGACGGUAGCAUCAGAAGAAGCCCCGGCUAAAUUCGUGCCAGCAGCCGCGGUAAUACGAAUGGGGCGAGCGUUGUUCGGAAUCACUGGGCGUAAAGCGUGCGCAGGCGGUUAUUCAAGUCAGAAGUGAAAUCCCAGGGCUUAACCUUGGAACUGCUUUUGGAACUGGAUAACUAGAGUCCCGGAGAGGUUAGCGGAAUUCCGAGUGUA
rnacentral:rRNA from 1 species